GAUGAAGAACGCAGCGAAAUGCGAUAAGUAAUGUGAAUUGCAGAAUUCAGUGAAUCAUCGAAUCUUUGAACGCACAUUGCGCCCCUUGGUAUCCCGAGGGGCAUGCCUGUUCGAGCGUCAUUUCACCACUCAAGCCUGGCUUGGUGUUGGGCGACGCCCCCUUUGGGGACGCGCCUCGAAACGCUCGGCGGCGUGGCACCGGCUUUAAGCGUAGCAGAAUCUUUCGCUUUGGAAGUCGGGGCCCCGUCUGCCGGAAGACCUACUCGCAAGGUUGACCUCGGAUCAGGCAGGGAUACCCGCUGAACUUAAGCAUAUCAAUAAGCGGAGGA
rnacentral:misc_RNA from 1 species